rnacentral:rRNA from 1 species
GGGCUUACACAAGCGGUGGAGCAUGUGGUUUAAUUCGAAACAACGCGCAAAACCUUACCAAUCCUUGACAUAUGAAAAACCAGAGUGUUUACUUGCUCUGUUUCUUUUAUACAGGUGCUGCAUGGCUGUCGUCAGUUCGUGGUGUGAGCUGUUGGGUUAAGUCCCAGAACGAACGCAACCCUCCUUUGAAAUAAAGGGUCUCCUUUUUCAAAGACUGACAAGGAUAUCUUGGAGGAAGGUGAGGACGACGUCAAGUCCGCAUGGCCCUUAUGGGUUGGGCUACACACGUGCUACAAUGGGAAUGACAAAAGGAGGCAACAUGGCAACAUUGAGCAAACCCAAAAAAGUUCCCUGAGUUCGGAUUGUUCUCUGCAACUCGAGAACAUGAAGUUGGAAUCGCAAGUAAAUCGUAGAUC